rnacentral:tRNA from 1 species
GGCGGAUUGGCAGAAAGGUUAUGUACUGGAUUGCAAAUCCAGCAAUAUCGGUUCGAUUCCGGUAUCCGUCUCCA